GGGCCCGUAGCUCAGCCAGGUCAGAGCGACGGUCUUAUAAACCGUAGGUCGCUGGUUCGAAUCCGGCCGGGCCCA
rnacentral:tRNA from 1 species